GACGAACGCUGGCGGCGUGCUUAACACAUGCAAGUCGAACAGUGGCGAACGGGUGAGUAACACGUGAGUAACCUGCCCUCCACUUUGGGAUAACUCCGAGAAAUCGGGGCUAAUACUGGAUAGUGGGGGAUGGGCUCGCGGCCUAUCGGUUUGUUGGUUAGGUAGUGGUAACCAAGGCGUGACGGGUAGCCGGCCGGAGAGGGCGACAGGGCACCAUGGGACUGAGACAGGGACCAGACUCCUACGGGAGGCAGCAGUGGGGAAUAGUGCACAAUGGGCGAACGCCUGAUGCAGCGACGCCGCGUGGGGGAUGACGGCCUUCUGGUUGUAAACCUCUUUCAGCAAGGAAGCGGUACUUGCAGAAAAAGCGCCGGCUAACUACGUGCCAGCAGCCGCGGUAAUUC
rnacentral:rRNA from 1 species